rnacentral:rRNA from 1 species
GAUGAACGCUGGCGGCGUGCCUAAUACAUGCAAGUCGAGCGAACAGAUAAGGAGCUUGCUCCUUUGACGUUAGCGGCGGACGGGUGAGUAACACGUGGGUAACCUACCUAUAAGACUGGAAUAACUCCGGGAAACCGGGGCUAAUGCCGGAUAACAUUUAGAACCGCAUGGUUCUAAAGUGAAAGAUGGUUUUGCUAUCACUUAUAGAUGGACCCGCGCCGUAUUAGCUAGUUGGUAAGGUAAUGGCUUACCAAGGCAACGAUACGUAGCCGACCUGAGAGGGUGAUCGGCACACUGGAACUGAGACACGGUCCAGACUCCUACGGGAGGCAGCAGUAGGGAAUCUUCCGCAAUGGGCGAAAGCCUGACGGAGCAACGCCGCGUGAGUGAUGAAGGGUUUCGGCUCGUAAAACUCUGUUAUUAGGGAAGAACAAACGUGUAAGUAACUGUGCACGUCUUGACGGUACCUAAUCAGAAAGCCACGGCUAACUACGUGCCAGCCGCCGCCGUAA